rnacentral:misc_RNA from 1 species
GAUGAAGAACGCAGUGAAAUGCGAUAAGUAAUGUGAAUUGCAGAUUUCAGUGAAUCAUCGAAUCUUUGAACGCACAUUGCGCCCCCUGGUAUUCCGGGGGGCAUGCCUGUUCGAGCGUCAUUUCACCACUCAAGCCUCGCUUGGUAUUGGGCAACGCGGUCCGCCGCGUGCCCCAAAUCGACCGGCUGGGUCUUCUGUCCCCUAAGCGUUGUGGAAACUAUUCGCUAAAGGGUGUUCGGGAGGCUACGCCGUAAAACAACCCCAUUUCUAAGGUUGACCUCGGAUCAGGUAGGGAUACCCGCUGAACUUAAGCAUAUCAAUAAGCGGAGGA